UUGGGGCAAAUUUGGGGGGUUUUGGGGGGUAAAUGAGGGGAUUUGGGGGAGAAAUAGGGGCAUUUUGGUGGGAAAUGGGGACAGUUUGGGGCAGAACUUGGAUUUUUGGGGCACCUUUUGGACCCAAAUUGUCCCCAAUUUGCCCCAAAUUCGCACUUUUUUGCUCCCAAACCGCCCUUAUUUUGCCCCAAAAUGCCCAAUUGUGCCCCAAAAAUCCCAGUUCUGCCCCAAAAUUUCACAAUUUUGACCCAACAUUGCAAUUUUUGCCCCCAAAUUGACCCCAUUUUGCCCCAAAAUGCCCAAAUGUGCCCCAAAUUUUCCCCAUUUUGCCCCAAAAUUGCACCAUUUUUUGCCCCCAAACCGCCCUCAUUUUCCCCCAAAAUGUCCAAUUGUGCCCCAAAAUCGCAAUUUUUGCCCCCAAAUUGACCCCAUUUUGCCCCAAAAUGCCCAAAUGUGCCCCAAAUUUUCCCCAUUUUGCCCCAAAAUUGCACCAUUUUUUGCCCCCAAACCGCCCUCAUUUUCCCCCAAAAUGUCCAAUUGUGCCCCAAAAUCGCAAUUUUUGCCCCCAAAUUGUCCCCAUUUUGCCCCAAAAUGGCCCAAAUGUGCCCCAAAAAUCCCAGUUCUGCCCCAAAAUGGCAACAUUUUGACCCAAAAUUGCAAUUUUUGCCCCCAAAUCGACCCCAUUUUGCCCCAAAAUGCCCAAUUGUGCCCCAAAAAUCCCAGUUCUGCCCCAAAAUCGCCAUUUUUGCCCCCAAAUUUUCCCCAUUUUGCCCCCAAAUGUGCCCCAAAAAUCCCAAUUUUGACCCCAAAUCGCACUUUUUUGCCCCCAAAUUUUCCCCAUUUUGCCCCAAAACGGCGCCUUUGGGACCCGAAUUUUCCCCGUUUCGCCCCAAAAGUGGGAGCCGAGGAUUUUUGGGGUGAAAAAGGAGGAUUUUGGGCUCAGACCCGGCGCUCCGUGGGCCGCAGCGCGCAGCAGUUUGUCCAGCUGGUACCGCAGGCGUUGCUCCAGGGGGCGGAGCUUCUCCAGCACCACUCGGCUCUCCAGGAGGCGUGGCAGCGGAGCGUCCACCCAGACCACACAAGCCGC
rnacentral:lncRNA from 1 species